rnacentral:rRNA from 1 species
GUUGAACGCUGGCGGCAGGCUUAACACAUGCAAGUCGAGCGGAGUGAUGGUGCUUGCACUAUCACUUAGCGGCGGACGGGUGAGUAAUGCUUAGGAAUCUGCCUAUUAGUGGGGGACAACAUCUCGAAAGGGAUGCUAAUACCGCAUACGUCCUACGGGAGAAAGCAGGGGAUCACUUGUGACCUUGCGCUAAUAGAUGAGCCUAAGUCGGAUUAGCUAGUUGGUGGGGUAAAGGCCUGCCAAGGGAAUGAUCUGUAGCGGGUCUGAGAGGAUGAUCCGCCACACGGGGACUGAGACACGGCCCAGACUCCUACGGGAGGCAGCACUGGGGAAUAUUGGACAAGGGGGGGAACCCUGAUCCAGCCAUGCCGAGUGUGUGAAGAAGGCCUUAUGGUUGUAAAGCACUUUAAGCGAGGAGGAGGCUCUUUUGGUUAAUACCCAAGAUGAGUGGACGUUACUCGCAGAAUAAGCACCGGCUAACUCUGUGCCAGCAGCCGCGGUAA